UAUCAUUAGAGAAAUGAAGCUAAAAACUUUCAGAUCUAGAUUUUCGGCGAUAAGGCAUUUUUUUCUUCGAGCUUCACUAUCUUUCCGACCACUCUGAUCCCGACACUUGCAGCAGUCCAAACGCGUCGACUAAAGUCAAGAUUCAUUCUGCACACCAUUUGGUAAACUCUUCGAUUUUGAGUAAUUUGGAUGUGAUAUUGUUAUAAUCUUGGUAUGUUUCUCACAUUUAAUUUUUGUUUCAAUUUCUUGGCUAUGUAAAUAUUUCUUGUUGCUUGUGUUUUAUAAUUAACCUUAUAGUUAAAUCGUUUGGCAUGAGGCUACUGUAAUCGGUUCAGUAACAAUCCGUGUCAUGCUUGCCUUGAACUUAUGCUGCUUGUUAUUGAGUUCAAAAUCCUAAUUUGAGUUUUGCUUCGUAAUACUGCUUUCAGUUUGAGUGAUAUUUCUUUUGUAAUAGGUAUGAUGCAAUUAUGGUUGUCAAACACAUUUAUUUU
rnacentral:lncRNA from 1 species